CAGCAGUGGGGAAUAUUGCACAAUGGGCGCAAGCCUGAUGCAGCCAUGCCGCGUGUAUGAAGAAGGCCUUCGGGUUGUAAAGUACUUUCAGCAGUGAGGAAGGUGGAUAUGGUUAAUAGCAUAUUCAUUUGACGUUUAGCUGCAGAAGAAGCACCGGCUAACUCCGUGCCAGCAGCCGCGGUAAUACGGAGGGUGCGAGCGUUAAUCGGAAUUACUGGGCGUAAAGCGCAUGCAGGUGGUUUGUUAAGUCAGAUGUGAAAGCCCGGGGCUCAACCUCGGAAUUGCAUUUGAAACUGGCAAACUAGAGUACUGUAGAGGGGGUAGAAUUUCAGGUGUAGCGGUGAAAUGCGUAGAGAUCUGAAGGAAUACCGGUGGCGAAGGCGGCCCCCUGGACAGAUACUGACACUCAGAUGCGAAAGCGUGGGGAGCAAACAGGAUUAGAUACCCUGGUAG
rnacentral:rRNA from 1 species